ensembl:lncRNA
CAGUCUCUUAGGUCAAUACUAUGUAUCUGUCAAUAUAGGGAAGGUUAUAUGUAGGAGCGAAGAACACCAAAAUCUCAAUGUCUUGAAGGAACAAAGAGUUUUUUCUUGCUUACACUACAGUUUUAAUGCAGAUAAAUAGGAAUGUUUGCUGAUUGCUGUCAUUCAGGAAGCCAAGCUGAUGGAAGAUGAUGCUGUCACCUCAACCGAAAUCUUUAAGGCCAGCCAUGACAGGGGAGAGAGCCAGGAGAAUGGAGUGCUAACUCUUCAGUACUACAGCUCAUGCAGACGCGUGCCAUUUCUGCUUGAAUUAGCCAGAGAAAGUCAGAUGACCGUGUAUAACAACAAGCGGGUAGUAUGCCUGGAAGAAGAGGAGAGAGAGAAAUCUUGAUGAGCACACAAUGAUGAUUGUUCCUACUUCAUACAUAGGAUAAGACUUAGAGGAGAAACUAACUUGUUCAAUGUCACACGUCUCAGCAGCCCAUACCUUCAAUUCUGAGGACUACACAGUAAGAAGCUAGCUUCUCUUCUUUCUGCCCCAAAUUCACUUGAAACCACAGAAACCGCAUGAAAAAUGGAGUCUGACCACCUCCAAUCUAUGGAUCCCAGACUGCUCCUUCUGUACUGAUUGACCGUCAAGUGCUAUAGAAACUGUAGAGGCAAUAAAGAACUCUUGUAUUGAUCUACGUUGAAAUUAUAGAGGAAAACAAAUUAUCCUGAGCUUUUCCAUUGGCAUUGAGUGCUAAGUCCAGACGGAUUCUAGAAAAAUUUAGCUUUUAAGGUUUGAUUUUAAAAUCCCUUGCAAACUAUGGAUGCUGGAAAAAUGAGUUAUUGUAUAUUAGGGGAUAGAGAGAUAAUGAUGAUAAAUGCUUUUAAGUUCUGGGUUUUGACAUAAGCCCUUCUCUAAUAGUUCAUUAGAGUUGAUUUAGAAGCUCUAAAAAGCUCAUUGUGCCCCAGACUGCUAACUCCUAGUGGCCCUUUG